CCCUUAGAUGUUCGGGGCCGCACGCGCGCUACACUGAAAGAAUCAGCGUGUGUCUACCCUGGUCCGGAAGGAUUGGGUAACCCGUUGAACCUCUUUCGUGCUAGGGAUUGGGGCUUGUAAUUAUUCCCCAUGAACGAGGAAUUCCCAGUAAGCGCGAGUCAUAAGCUCGCGUUGAUUACGUCCCUGCCCUUUGUACACACCGCCCGUCGCACCUACCGAUUGAAUGGUCCGGUGAAGCCUCCGGAUUGGCGCGCACCUCGGUGCCGCCGAGAAGUUGGCUAAACCUUACCAUUUAGAGGAAGGUGAAGUCGUAACA
rnacentral:rRNA from 1 species